GAAGCAGCCAUCAUUUAAAGAAAGCGUAAUAGCUCACUGGUCGAGUCGGCCUGCGCGGAAGAUGUAACGGGGCUAAACCAUGCACCGAAGCUGCGGCAGCGACACUCAGGUGUUGUUGGGUAGGGGAGCGUUCUGUAAGCCUGUGAAGGUGUGUCGUGAGGCAUGCUGGAGGUAUCAGAAGUGCGAAUGCUGACAUAAGUAACGAUAAAGCGGGUGAAAAGCCCGCUCGCCGGAAGACCAAGGGUUCCUGUCCAACGUUAAUCGGG
rnacentral:rRNA from 1 species